GACGAACGCUGGCGGCGUGCUUAACACAUGCAAGUCGAACGAAGUGGCGAACGGGUGAGUAACGCGUAGUUAACCUGCCCUUCAUAGGGGGAUAACAGUUGGAAACGACGUCUAAUACCGCAUACUGCAGGACGGGUUUGUGGGUGAUUGGUCGGUUGGGGGGGUAAUGGCUCACAAAGGCGAUGAGAGGUAGCCGGUUUAGGAGGCGUAGCGGCCACACUGGGACUGAGGCACGGCCCAGACUCCUACGGGAGGCAGCAGUGGGAAAUGUUCCGGAAUGGACGAAAGUCUGGCGGGGCAACGCCGCGUGAGUGAUGUGGGCCUUCGGGUUGUAAAGCUCUGUUAAUCGGGACGCGGUACCUGAAUAGAAAGCCACGGCUAACUACGUGCCAGCCGCCGCGGUAAUUC
rnacentral:rRNA from 1 species